rnacentral:rRNA from 1 species
GCAUAUCAAUAAGCGGAGGAAAAGAAACUAACAAGGAUUCCCCUAGUAAUGGCGAAUGAAGAGGGAGAAGCUCAAAUUUUAAAUCUACCUGGUUCCCAGGUCGAGUUGUAAUUUGAAGAAGCGAUAUCGGUGUGGAGGUCUGGUUCAAGUUCUUUGGAACAAGACAUCAUGGAGGGUGAGAAUCCCGUGCAUGAUCAGACCAAGAUACUUAAUAUUCGCUUUCUAAGAGUCGAGUUGUUUGGGAAUGCAGCUCAAAUUGGGUGGUAGACUUCACCUAAGGCUAAAUAUCAGCGAGAGACCGAUAGCGAACGAGUACUGUGAAGGAAAGAUGAAAAGAACUUUGAAAAGAGAGUUAAAUAGUACGUGAAAUUGUUGAAAGGGAAACGAUUGAAGUCAGUCAUGCCAGUGAAAAUUCAGUUUGGUGGGUUUUGGGUUCAGGAGUUGAGGCAGGGUCAAACCGUUUCUCUUUUGAUCUUGGAAUUUGUCAGAUGCACUUUUUCUUUGGCAGGUCAGCGUCGAUUUCGGAGGUUGUAAAAUACUUGGGGAAAAGUAGCUCUGCUUCGGGAGAGUGUUUAUAGACCUUGGGUGAUGCGGCCUGCGGGAUCGAGGAUUGCAGCAAAUGCUUUUGGCUUGUCGCCUGAUCUCUGGACGUCAUCUCGCUUGUAUCAACAUUCUUGGUACCGGUGAGUAAUGGUGCUCAUAGGUUAGAGCGAUCAAAAAUUUGCUAAGGAUGCUGACGUAAUGGCUUUAAACGAC